GACGAACCGUGCGAACGUUAUUCGGAAUCACUGGGCUUAAAGCGCGUGUAGGCGGGGUCGCGCGUCGGACGCUGAAAUCCCCCCGGCUCAACCGGGGGAAGUGGCGCCGAUACGGCCGGCCUGGAGGGACGUAGGGGGGGGCUGGAACUUCCGGUGGAGCGGUGAAAUGCGUUGAGAUCGGAAGGAACGCCCGUGGCGAAAGCGAAGCCCCCUGGACGUCUACUGACGCUGAGAGCGAAAAGCCAGGGGGAGCGAACGGGG
rnacentral:rRNA from 1 species